AGCUCUCCUGUUUGUUGACGUUUUUCCUCGUGCUCCAAUGUGCAGUGGAUAUCGAUCGAGAUGAUUUCUGUGACUAUCAGAUACACACUUAGCAUAGCAAAGAACUGUUUUGACUUUCCUCUUUGCGGUAAUAAUCAUGCCAUAUCUGUCCAGCUUGCUAGAUGUAAUACCUGCAGAAUCAUUAAAACGUAAACAAGUGAAUAAUAUUUAUAACCAAAACGGGUUUAAAUAUGAGUGCAGGACUCGCGUCAAAGACGGCCCACCAAGAGAGUAUUAUGGAUGAGGUGAUGUAUCUACACAUGCUGGAGCCUGGAAUAUAAGCUGACUCUUCAACUUUGAAAAAGUAAUGGUCAACCAUCAUGAUCAUCAGUACUCGUCACUGUGUGACGUAAAGCCAUUUUCACCUACUAGAGUGUAAAACAAAGGCUGCCACAAUACAAUAAAACAGAUGUGAAUCAACACACACGAGGUAGAACUGACUGUAUUCAAGGAAAAUUAUUUUAAAAUAUAUUUUUUGCGUGUUUAUUUAAAAAAAAAUAUUGGAGGCAUCCUACUUUAAUUCGAAUUGAAACCUUUUUAAAGUAGUGUCUUUAAAAACAACUAAUAUUAUCAUAUCGGUAACUUAUAUUAAUUUUAUUUCUUCUAUGAUAUUAAUUCUCCAUAAGUAAUAUUUUUAUAAUUAUUACUCAGUCACUAUUUUUGGUCAGAAAAAACAACCCAUAAGUUAUAAACGAAUCGCAUUUAAAACCAAAUUACUCUGGAUAAUAACUUUAAAAAUUUAUAUCAUAUAAUGUCCAGUAAAGAAAAUACAUGUUAAUUAAAGGCAAUAAUAAUACAAUGUAAUUACAAAUCAUACAUUUCUUUUAAUAAAAAUAAUCGAUGAAUUAAAAACUAUCACCGCAUGGGUUAUUGGUUUUACACCAGGUACGUUUCGAAUGAACUCUAAAUGUGACCUACUUACCCA